GAUAUUUGUGACUGGCAUUUUUUAAUGUUUUAGACAGUGACUAUGAACAUUGUCAGAUUCACCCAGUUGUCUGGAUACAGCUGGAUUAAAUUACAUGCAAUCCCCAUAACCAUGUAUAGAGUCGAUCAGUGGCUGUAGUUUGACUUGGGCUAUGGCAUAAAUGACAGCCUGGAUGGACUCCACUUUCCUGUCAGACAUCCAGGAAUGCCUGAGAGUGACAGUGUCAUCAGGUUACUCUUGGAUCCUUUUGGAGUUACAGAGGACAUCAUUGCAAACGCCAACUCUGUAUUACUGGUUAUAUUACUGGUUAUAGUUUACUUGCCAGAAACCUCACCCUGGGUCAUGCAUUGCCAUGGCUUAUGGCAUGCCAUGGUGUUUGAGAACUUUCUAGAAUACGGGAAGUAUCCCAAACCAAGAGAUAGGAAUAAGAUGAGGCCUUCUAACUGCAAACAUCUUAAAAAGCAAAUGAAAUUGAGAGACUGUUUUAAAGGAGGAGAAGAAUGAAUUGCAGACAUGUGUAAGUACAUCUUCAAGGCUAAGAACGAAUCUGGAAGAAUUGUUUGAUUAACUGGGAAGAAUGAAGUGGUGAGAGGCAGCUCCUCAAGCAAGACACCGGGAAGGUGAGGCUCAUGGAGAUGAAGGAAAUGGCCUGCGGAAGGGUUUCACAGGAGCUUGCUGGCAUUCGUGCUUCCUGUAGUUCCUGGUUGUGACCAGUGACAAGCAUGUGCUUGCUUGUUCCUCGCAUUCCUGGUUUGCAGACUGAAGGGCUUGCUGUGCAGCUGUUAGAACAAGGAAGAGCCGUGCAGUGGGAGCUGAGGUCUGUGCUUGCAGAGGUGCCAAAGACAUCACCUGGCAGGACAGUCAGAGAAGGAUGCCUGGCUGGAUGCUCCAAUGAAGGAGAAAUGAAGAGCAUUAUGCCAAGCAGAAUAGGAAAGUUGGUCCUGCCUGGAGCAGGGGUGAGCCAGGUACCUCAAAGGGCACAGCUAACCUGGUAAUGGCUGAUGAUUAUACUCAAAACGAAGGAGGUAAGGGCAAUCUUUGUAGCCAUCAGGAGGCUUAAGUGCUGCAAUCUUCACUUCGCCCUGGCCCUGGAGUCUUCUGUUAAGUUAUGCUGCCUCUCCCAGGGUCAAGGAAACUGACUUGUUAGGAGAGUUCAGUCCUUCUAGAACAUCCUCUCAAAAAGUCUCAGACAACAGGAUCGGAGUGUACUGCUCUUGUUAUCGCCAAGCCUUCCAGUUCAGUAUUCAAUAACCAGUGGAUGGUUUGAAGUGAGCCUUCUGUUAAGAUCCUGUUGUUGGCAGGCGAAUGUGGCUUCAUCAUUUUCUAAAUGGAUACCAAAAAAAGUGUAGGGGGUGCCGAAUGAGAUUGUAGGGGGUGCCGAAUGAGAUUGUAGGGAUGCACCUGCACGUGAGAGCCUGCCUCUUGCCUUUUACAGGAAGCUCAUACUCUAAACAGGCAUUGACAAGCCUGAGUUCACUUCCUAGACGGCCAUAUCAUAUGAAUGCCUGGUCUUCCUUAGGUUUUAUUUGUGAUGCUGCACUCAGAAAUCUCCAAGGAUGGGAUCCAGGCUUUGGUGCUGUUGAAAACCUCCUGGGCUAGGACCAGCGUUUGAGCUUCUGUUGAAGAUGCCCCUUCCCCACAGCAGAUUGUCUGUCUCUAUCACUGGCUUUUGCUUGGAACUCCAGCUUCCUGCUAGCACCAUCCCCUGGGAGGCAGCAAGUUGGCUCAAGUUGUUGAGUUCCUGCCAUUAUUGUGGAGAAGACCUGGAAUGUGUUCUUGGAUUCAGCCACACAGGCUGGGACCAGGCCACUGUUGCAGCCUUUGGCAAGGACUCAAUCUCACUGUUUCUUAACUGGUUUCUCCAGAAGUCCUGUGGAACUUGUUUGUUAUCUUCAGGACCUGUCAGCCCAGAGCAUGUCUAAACAAAGACUUAUUCAGAGAAUGAACCACAGAAAGAAGCAGCUAACACUGAAGAAAUGAAAUGGAAGAAAAUGAGACUGCAAGAUUAGACAUUUGAACUUCUCUACUCACAAGAUAAUCUGAAAAAGAAUUGGAUUUUGAUGAUGACAAA